GGAGGUUUAGCUCAGUUGGGAGAGCACCUGCCUUACAAGCAGGGGGUCGCAGGUUCAAGUCCUGCAAUCUCCACCA
rnacentral:tRNA from 1 species